CGGAGAGGGAGGAAAACUUCUUCCUGGCCUGGGCUCCGUGCCGCUCUGUUUGCCAACCGUCCAGUCCCGCCUACCAGUGCCGGGCGCUCCCCACCCCUCCCCCGGCUCCCCCGGUGUCCGCCAUGGCCAAAGCCUACGACCACCUCUUCAAGUUGCUGCUGAUCGGGGACUCGGGGGUGGGCAAGACUUGUCUGAUCAUUCGCUUUGCAGAGGACAACUUCAACAACACUUACAUCUCCACCAUCGGUGAGCCCGCUGGCCAUGUCCCAGACCCCGACUCUCCUGUGACCUCCUUCUCAGGCUCCCGGAUUACUAGUGACCCCACUUUUCAGUCCCCUUAGAGAAUUGAUUUCAAGAUCCGCACUGUGGAUAUAGAGGGGAAGAAGAUCAAACUACAAGUCUGGGACACGGCUGGCCAAGAGCGGUUCAAGACAAUAACUACUGCCUACUACCGUGGAGCCAUGGGCAUUAUCCUAGUAUACGACAUCACGGAUGAGAAAUCUUUCGAGAAUAUUCAGAACUGGAUGAAAAGCAUCAAGGAGAAUGCCUCAGCUGGGGUGGAGCGCCUCUUGCUAGGGAACAAAUGUGACAUGGAGGCCAAGAGGAAGGUGCAGAAGGAGCAGGCCGAUAAGUUGGCUCGAGAGCAUGGAAUCCGAUUUUUCGAAACUAGUGCUAAAUCCAGUAUGAACGUGGAUGAGGCUUUUAGUUCCCUGGCCCGGGACAUCUUGCUCAAGUCAGGAGGCCGGAGAUCAGGAAAUGGCAACAAGCCUCCCAGUACUGACCUGAAAACUUGCGACAAGAAGAACACCAAUAAGUGCUCCCUGGGCUGAGGACCCUUUCUUGCCUCCCCACCCUGGAAGCUGAACCU
rnacentral:sRNA from 1 species